CCUUCUAUAGCUCAGUUGGUAGAGCGGGGGACUGUAGAUUUAUAAUUGUGAUCCCUAGGUCGCUGGUUCGAAUCCGGCUCGAAGAA
rnacentral:tRNA from 2 species